rnacentral:lncRNA from 1 species
GUGGGGUAUUUUAGAUAUGAUGAAGUGUGUGUGAAGGUUAUGAGUGAUCAAUAAGGGAUCGAUCACAUCUAAUAAGGAGAGCGAACAUCCUAUGUGAUCUCACAAGAUGAUAAUUCGAAAAGUCUUUGGCCAAAGCAUGAUGAUAAUUAGAAAGAGAUUUCUAAUGCAUCAUUAACUAAAUCAUUACCUUCUGAUUGAGAUACAUAUAGA